rnacentral:rRNA from 1 species
GAUGAACGCUGGCGGCGUGCCUAAUACAUGCAAGUCGAACGCUUCACUUCGGUGAAGAGUGGCGAACGGGUGAGUAAUACAUAAGUAACCUGGCAUCUACAGGGGAUAACUGAUGGAAACGUCAGCUAAGACCGCAUAGGCGUAGAGAUCGCAUGAACUCUAUAUGAAAAGUGCUACGGGACUGGUAGAUGAUGGACUUAUGGCGCAUUAGCUGGUUGGUAGGGUAACGGCCUACCAAGGCGACGAUGCGUAGCCGACCUGAGAGGGUGACCGGCCACACUGGGACUGAGACACGGCCCAGACUCCUACGGGAGGCAGCAGUAGGGAAUUUUCGGCAAUGGGGGAAACCCUGACCGAGCAACGCCGCGUGAAGGAAGAAGUAAUUCGUUAUGUAAACUUCUGUCAUAGAGGAAGAACGGUGGAUAUAGGGAGUGAUAUCCAAGUGACGGUACUCUAUAAGAAAGCCACGGCUAACUACGUGCCAGCCGCCGCGGUAA